CAGGAAAAUUUUCAAACUUGUAGAAUAAUCUCACAACAUCAGAAGCAAAACUUUUGGCGAGUUUUUAAACAGGAGCAUUUCCAAACUUAUGGAAUGAUCUAACAACAUCAGGGUCAAAACAUUUGGAGACAUUUACAAAAGGAGAAUUUCCAAACUUGUGGAAUAAUCGCACAACAUCAGAAGAAAAAGUUUGGCGACUUUUAUAAACAGGAGAAUUUCUCAACUUGUGGAAGAAUCUUUAAACAGAAGAACAAAAACUUUCGGCGACUUUUACAAGGUUUGGACCUACUUAAAAAAAAAACUUCAAGCCGAACAAAACCCUGGAUUUUUUUUCAAGUAGAUAGCUACGAAGCUUCCCUUUUCAUCUAGUACGAACAACAGUCUUGCCGUAGAACUUUUUUUAUUAACUUUUCUG